rnacentral:lncRNA from 1 species
UUGUAAUCAAACAUUCUUAGAUCGCUAUUUGAAUUCUUUAUUCUUUUUCUUUAGAGAAGAGCUUGAAUAAAGAAUCUCUACGUUAUUCACCACCCUUAUGAAGAAAGUAUUUUAAAUGCUAUUUGUAGAGCAUAAUCCAGCACAAAAUCAUUUUAUUUUUAACAUCAGUUGGUAUCGUUUUGUACCAGUGUUGCAGCUAUGUGCUCUGCUGCAUAACAAUGUGCAGUUCAUAUCAGUGCGUUUGACACUUAGUCUAUCUCUAAACAUCGUUUCCUCAUUUAAGUUUUAUUAAUGCUGGUUUUUAUUUAGAGUCAUAGUAAACUCAUCAGAAACAACCAUCACAUAUGUAAAGAUAUGAGCUUGAUGUGAUAAUGUCAGAACAUGCCUUUUCAUUAACACAAGGCCUAGGUUACAUGGACUUGUAUGCAUGUAUUGAGCGCAGGCGAGUGUGUUCAUGUUGGAUCCUUCGAGUAUCUAAAAUUUUCUGUCUUAUGGAUCUGUGCACCAGAGUUAUACUGAUAAACAUGUUAAAGUCUGAGGUGUUGGAACUUACGGAAAGUUCGGCUGAUCAAAAAGGGGGAUUCUGUGGCAAUGAAAGGUUGUUUUCCUCUGGCUUUAUGAGAGCCAAGUGCAGAUUCAAUUCCUGCUCCAGCGUGCCAUGAUGAGGUCCCUCUCUUCUUCUUAUUCCUC